ACGGCCAGGACUACAGGGGUAUCUAAUCCCUUUCGCUCCCCUGGCUUUCGUCCAUGAGCGUCAGUAAUGGCCCAGCAGAGCGCCUUCGCCACUGGUGUUCUUCCCGAUAUCUACGCAUUUCACCGCUACACCGGGAAUUCCCUCUGCCCCUACCAUACUCAAGCCUUUCAGUUUCCACUGCCAUGAUGGAGUUAAGCUCCACGCUUUAACAGCAGACUUGAAAAGCCGCCUGCGGACGCUUUACGCCCAAUAAUUCCGGAUAACGCUUGCCACUCCCGUAUUACCGCGGCUGCUAGCACGGAAUUAGCCGUGGCUUAUUCCUCAAGUACCGUCAUAUCUUCUUCCUUGAGAAAAGAGGUUUACAGCCCAGAGGCCUUCGUCCCUCACGCGGCGUUGCUCCGUCAGGCUUUCGCCCAUUGCGG
rnacentral:rRNA from 1 species